rnacentral:rRNA from 1 species
ACGGGAGGCAGCAGUAGGGAAUCUUCGGCAAUGGGGGGAACCCUGACCGAGCAACGCCGCGUGAGUGAAGAAGGUUUUCGGAUCGUAAAGCUCUGUUGUUAGAGAAGAACAGUGAUGGGAGUGGAAAGUCCAUCAUUUGACGGUAACUAACCAGAAAGGGACGGCUAACUACGUGCCAGCAGCCGCGGUAAUACGUAGGUCCCGAGCGUUGUCCGGAUUUAUUGGGCGUAAAGCGAGCGCAGGCGGUUUGAUAAGUCUGAAGUUAAAGGCAGUGGCUUAACCAUUGUAUGCUUUGGAAACUGUUAAACUUGAGUGCAGAAGGGGAGAGUGGAAUUCCAUGUGUAGCGGUGAAAUGCGUAGAUAUAUGGAGGAACACCGGUGGCGAAAGCGGCUCUCUGGUCUGUAACUGACGCUGAGGCUCGAAAGCGUGGGGAGCAAACAGGAUUAGAUACCCUGGUA